GACAUCCACAGAACUUUCCAGAGAUGGAUUGGUGCCUUCGGGAACUGUGAGACAGGUGCUGCAUGGCUGUCGUCAGCUCGUGUUGUGAAAUGUUGGGUUAAGUCCCGCAACGAGCGCAACCCUUAUCCUUUGUUGCCAGCGGUCCGGCCGGGAACUCAAAGGAGACUGCCAGUGAUAAACUGGAGGAAGGUGGGGAUGACGUCAAGUCAUCAUGGCCCUUACGACCAGGGCUACACACGUGCUACAAUGGCGCAUACAAAGAGAAGCGACCUCGCGAGAGCAAGCGGACCUCAUAAAGUGCGUCGUAGUCCGGAUUGGAGUCUGCAACUCGACUCCAUGAAGUCGGAAUCGCUAGUAAUCGUGGAUCAGAAUGCCACGGUGAAUACGUUCCCGGGCCUUGUACACACCGCCCGUCACACCAUGGGAGUGGGUUGCAAAAGAAGUAGGUAGCUUAACCUUCGGGAGGGCGCUUACCACUUUGUGAUUCAUGACUGGGGUGAAGUCGUAACAAGGUAACCGUAGGGGAACC
rnacentral:rRNA from 1 species